rnacentral:tRNA from 1 species
GGCAUCGUGGCUUAGCUGGUUAAAGCACCUGUCUUGUAAACAGGAGAUCCCCGGUUCGAAUCCGGGCGAUGCCU